CCUACGGGGAGCAGCAGUGAGGAAUAUUGGUCAAUGGUCGGGAGACUGAACCAGCCAAGCCGCGUGAGGGAUGAAGGUACAGAGUAUCGUAAACCUCUUUUGUCAGGGAACAAAGGCGGGGACGCGUCCCCGGAUGAGUGUACCUGAAGAAAAAGCAUCGGCUAACUCCGUGCCAGCAGCCGCGGUAAUACGGAGGAUGCGAGCGUUAUCCGGAUUUAUUGGGUUUAAAGGGUGCGCAGGCGGUCUGUUAAGUCAGCGGUAAAAGCCCGGGGCUCAACCCCGGCCCGCCGUUGAAACUGGCAGUCUCGAGUUGGAGAGAGGUAGGCGGAAUGCGCGGUGUAGCGGUGAAAUGCAUAGAUAUCGCGCAGAACUCCGAUUGCGAAGGCAGCAUGCCGGCUCCACACUGACGCUGAGGCACGAAAGCGUGGGUAUCGAACAGGAUUAGAUACCCUAGUAGUC
rnacentral:rRNA from 1 species